AUAGCAACAACAACAACAACAACAAAAAAGACAAAAGACAAAAAAAAAAAAAAAAGAAUCUUGCUUUGUCCCCGCCAGACUUUCAAAGCCACGUAGCCCUUUGUUAUCAGGACUCUCACCUUCAUAAAACGCUGGUACAGGUCCUCCAAAUCAGAGCAAAUGUGAUGGUGGGAGUGGGGGCAGGUUUUGCAGAAAAAGAAUUUCUCUUCGGCAACAGUUUCAUCCCCUGGGAUAAAGGCUGCUGUGUUGCUGGCCUAGACCCUUCCUGCUUUUAAGGGUUCCUUUCUGGGACUCUACCCCAGGCAACGUGAGAACGAGGGGGAAAAAAAUUUGCCCCACAUCAAGGCUCUGCCUCUCUAGCUAUUUGAAUUUUUCUCGAGAUUUUUCGAUGAAUGCCGUUCAAGGUAAUGCAUUUUCAAAAGAAAACCUGUCAUGCUGACUGCUCAGCUCAAUCGACCUCUAUGAACUUCCCUUUUGGGUUCUCCAGAUCCUCAGUGUACCUUACUACUCGAAAUUGAACGAGAGGGCAUUUCAGGGGAUCAGUCAAAGAUAACAGGAAGGUUCUGAGCUUUUAUGGUUUAAAAGAAUGCUGUUUUCAGAAACAGAGAACAAGAGCCCUAUUAUGAGCCUUUAAUUAUUUCUAUGAAUACAUUACAAACUCCUCCAUCACUAGACUGUAAUAACUAAAAACUACCUUAGAAUGACAUUUAAAUGAAUUUCAUUCCAUGAAAAUGAGAGCUUAAAAUCAGCCGGGCAAACAAUGGCAUUUUGCUUUCCUAUUGGCUCCUCGAAACUAUUGCUCCAUCAAAACAUCAGAAGAGUCUUGUUCCUGUCAUGUAAGACAUGAAAUGAACAUAACUUCCAUCCUGGUUCCAAAACCUUAGUUAGGUAAUAUGCCGGGGCCACUCCAGCUACUUCAAGGAUAUUGUGAAAUCUCUUCAAAAAAAAAAAAAAAACCACAAAGUAAAGUUGAACACAGUUCAAUCGAAAAGCUAGGCAGCUGGCAUGAAGGAUUUAUGGAGGUGGAAAGGUGAUCACCAAUUUAUAUGAAUAUAUUUGUUGUACCAUGUAAAUAGUCAAAGUGUAAGUCUUUACCAAUUGCCAAGAGCUCAAAAGACCUGGUUCCAAAGGAGGCUACACUGAGCUGACCUUGGAUGAUUGUUCCUUAGGAUCGUCCCAAGAUGCUGGGUUUAGCAGGAGAGAGGAUAUGCAAGUCGUAUGCGCAUCCAGCUCAGGUGAAAAUGUUCAAUGGAGAUCUAUGAAAGCCAGGUGGCUUCAAGUCUGGCGAACAACUUAAAACGGAAGACAGGCAGGAGCCAGGGGACCGUUCCCAAAGAGAGAUGGAGUGUUUAUUUCCGUUGAAGCUGAGCAUCAGAAAAGAACUCUCUUUGGGGACGGGGAAAUUUAACUGGCAGGGCUGUCACAACUGGGACUGGAAUCCAGGGUCCCGCAGAAACACGGCACUGGCGGUCAGGAAGAAGGGUGUGGCCUGCGGCUGGCUGGACAAAGAAGAGUGGGACUUGGCCAGAAUGGGGCAGAAAUUGGGAUGACGACGAUGGAGGAGAACAAGAUCUGGCUGGUGAGGCUGGACAGAGCGCUCCACACGUGGAAUCUGAGUUACCGGAACCAAUUGGCAGAAAGUUUUUACAAGAAUGAAAAUAAACACACCCAUGGUGCUAUAAAUAAAAGAUGAAUGGGGAGCCAGCUCAAAGGCAUGAAAACAUGGACCACCAGGCAGGCAGCCGUUCCAGGAACCACAGCUCAUCCCUGACAAUGGAGGUAUGGAUGGAUUAUAAUCGAGAAUUUUAAUUUCAUGUUUGGCAUCAUAAGGCUUAUUGUUAACACCAUUAAUUUGUAAACUUGAGACUUUGUGCAUUUGCUUUACUAUAAAAACUAGCACAGAAUUGCAGGUGCCAAUGUAAAGGCUGUACAUAAACUCAAGUAUCAUCAGAGUUUAAAUCUGGGGGGAAAAAAAAACCCACCUCCAAUGACAGCAAAACGCUUCCCAACGUAUUUUUGUACGUGUUAUUUAGCAUAUUCCAAAGAAAUAAUUUUAUUCAGAGUACACCGGCCUUUUAAUUUAAUGACCAUACUGAAUAAGCCCCAAAGAACCUCCAGGUGUAAGAGAAAACACACACAAGCUUCCAACAGAAUCAUCUUUCUCUUGGUUCAAUGUGCAGCCUGGAAGGAAAUUUGAAUUUGAAAUUUGACAAGCGCUUCCAUAGAAGACUUGAAAAAAUGAGCUUUGGGCCACUGGUUUAUGUCCUAAAGGGAUGGAGCUUAUAAGAAACAGUAGCAAAAGGGCACAAGAUGUGUUCAGGCCUCCAAGAUUUUAUAGUGUCAGGAGACACAUUUAAACUUACCAUGGUUUUUACACUAAUAAAUAUUUGUCGUGUGAUUUUUAUUUAAAUGGCAAAGUUUUAUUUUGAUUUCUUUGACUAUAUCAUGAUGCAGGACUAACUAUAAUUGUAUUUGUACAGAAAGUAGAAACACCCUUCCAGGAAUAAGAGUGGGUUUAAUGGAUAUAUAUAUCCUUGGAAGAAACAAAACUCAAAGGCCAGCAUCUUAUUAAGCCAAUAACUUAGUUCUGGGUCCCUAAAGCUACUUAUCUGUUUUUGCUGUUUAUGGAAGACAAAGCGUGUAGGUAUGAGCUGAGAAGAGUGAAGCUUUUGUUCUAAGGUUUUAACUCAACUCUGCAUUCGUGAGUGAGUGCCCCCUGCCCAGUGGUAUUUUUUCUCCUUGUUCCCUGCCCCUCUCCCUGAUCCUUCUCAGAAUUAAACACAUCUGAGUUUGAAUCCCAGUGACCGAGAGGAAGUUAUCCGAGUCUCUUCUUCAUCUGUAAAAAUGGGCAAGAUGACAUGACUUCACAGGGUGGUUGUAAAGAUUACAUGAAAUACAGUCCGCAAAGCCCCAGACAGGAGGUUGCCUGGGAAACUGGUACCAUCCGGCUCCUCCUCUGCUGCCGCUCGCUCCUUUCUCUUCUUUUUUCUUCUUGUCUUUUCCUUCUCUCUCUCUCUUUUUUAAAGUCUUUUUUUUUUUUCUGUCUUGUAUUCUCUAUAGUAUGUAGAAAUAUUUGGGGUGAAGUGGGCUCUGGGCCCCUCGGACUUAAGGAAAUGAUGAUUUAGGGAAAUUCAUAAACAAAUGAAUACUGGAGAUGUUCAGUGAUAGUGGAAAUGACUGGACUUGGCUCCUGAAAUCUCCAGGCUCCCAGGCUCCAGGCACCUUGUAAACAUCGCCAAGCGUGUCUUUGUUCAAAUCGCUGCAGUGUUUCGGAGUACUUACAAAAGAAUGCAUUUUAGGGGAGUCUCUCUGUGCUAGAUUUUCUACGAGUAGGAAUAACCUUUCCUCUCUUGAAGCUGGUUUAGAACCCAUGUGUGUUUUAAUUUUCCCACUACAUCCAAUGCUUGCGGUUUCAGUUUUGUUUAAGGAAGGCGAGACACAAACACACUAAGGGAAGCUGGGAGGUUUGCUUCUGGGGCUUUAACGAACUGACAGAAUCACCUCGUUGCUCUCUCUUCCCUGGGAUCCUGAUCUCCCCCAGGACUCAGGUUCCUCCUUUGAUGUCGCUUGGAUAUGUGGUCAGGGACAGAAAAGCGACAGAGGAGAAAAUAAUAGUAGGGGAACCUAAGGAGGAGUAUCUCCUGGAAAACCUACCCACCUUCCUCUCCAAAUCUUCAGAGAAGUUUGAAAACUGCUGGAACUGGCCGGACCCACGAGCCAGGGGCAGCUUUGUUUACAAAUCAGAAACACAGUAAUUCCCUGCUGACUGUUCUCCUUGCUUCUCUGAGACGUCUUUGUUUUUUGUUUGUUUUUGCUCUUUUUUUAGGGCCGCACCUGAGGCAUAGGGGUUGAA